UACAGAGGUCUCAAGCGUUGUUCGGAUUCAUUGGGCGUAAAGGGUGCGUAGGCGGCGCGGUAAGUCGGGUGUGAAAUCUCGGGGCUUAACUCCGAAACUGCAUUCGAUACUGCCGUGCUUGAGGACUGGAGAGGAGACUGGAAUUUACGGUGUAGCGGUGAAAUGCGUAGAUAUCGAGAGGAACACCUGCGGCGAAGGCGGGUUGCUGGGCUGACACUGACGCUGAGACGCGAAAGCGUGGGGAGCAAACAGG
rnacentral:rRNA from 1 species